GAGUCAUCGGGCAAGAGGGCAGCUGAAUGGAUGGCAGAAGGUUUCUCAAACUGGACUGGAGCAGGGCCUGGUGCUGGGUGGUGCAGUCAUUGGACAGCCAGUGUAAGGGUGCUCUUCGGAGGGUGUUUGAGUAUGAGAUCUUGAUCCAGAGUCAGCUUGUUUUUUUCCUUCUAUUAAACUAGCGGUAGUCGCCACAGCUCUUAGACAGUGGGUCAUCCUGUGGUUACCAGGUCCGACAGUUUGGACAGGAAACCUUGCAGGAAGGGCAGAAAGUCUGCACUUAGCAUCUUUAACUCCUGGGACAAGCUGGUCCAGAGAGUGGCAAAUUUUAUGGACUACCUGUUUAAAAGGAGAUGGAAAUCAUGCAAGAGAAAAGAGUGAACUUCUCUCUUUUUCUUUGGGCUCAGCCCAGAGGAACAUUAUCCCUUCCCUGGUGUUUCUUAGCAGAGGCGUGGAGCAGAGCAGAGAGAGCUCACCUGGGGAACCAUUCCCCUCCCUAUGUGCACUCCCUUUAGAUGGCAGGGGCCCUGGAGGAGAGGCCAGACCUCUCCCCACCUCCAUAUGGGACCAACCUUGACCAUGAGCAGGAGUCAAGCAACCAAAACAACAUCCUGUUUUGGAGAUGGACAGGUGGAGGAUUUGGAGUUUCGUUGGGUCACCUGGAAGAAUCGAAAGGAUUUGGGUCCCUAACAGAAGAAGACAUAUGUCUUAAGCCUAGUAUGGGCAGAGUCUCACAAAACAGAUGGAAAUAUAUAGAAAGACACACAGAGACACACACACACAAUCACAGUAGAGGCAACCAGUGAUGGUCACCACACAUUCAUAUACCUGAACAGACAGAAGAAACCCAUGAUGUCUCCCAUGGAUCCCAGACACUGGAUCAGCAGCCACAUCUGACCUCUCUUAUGUGUCCAAACAGAAGACACCUUAAUCAGACUUACAUCCAGAGGUGACAGAUGAGGCAACUUCCUAAUUUCCUUCCUUUUGGGGUGGGGGUGUCAGACCCUUCAAAUCACUGGACAGUGAUUGAUUCAGAGGGAACCCUGGGAACCUGGGACAUCUCAUGUUGCACAAUCCCUAAGAGUUCCUUGACCACCAACCACACUCUUCCUUGAUCCAAGGGGCUCUGAGAUCCCCAGUGUCUCAAGGUCUGGUCUCUGGAUCUCACUAGGGCCUCUAGGAAUGGUGUGGUGUAUUCAUCUCAGACAUGGGUUUAAGCCAAUAGUAAGUCUUUUCUAGUGAGCUGGCAACUAAACUGGGUGCUUGGGAUCCCAGUGUAGCCCAGAGCCUUUCUCAGGAUCAAUGUUUAAGCCCCAAAACCAUGUUCUGGAUCGACAUAUUUCAGUUAACAAGAACAGUUAGUCAGAAUUGGAACUAGGGAAGCUAAAAGGCAAGGGUAGUACAUUUCGAGACUUUUCCAGAACUAUACGGGCUUUGAUGAAUAAAGCCUUUGUUUUAGUUUCGGCAGGUGGUGCUGUCUACAUGCUGAGUUUACAGCCUAACUGGCACUCUCAUCAUGGAGACAGUUGUGUUAAGGUCUAAGGGACUAUUAAAGUCGGGGUUCCUGUUAGAAAAAUACAGUUUCAUGUUUGUGAAUGUAAAUACGAUAGUUGUAGUGAUCUGAAAGAAAAUGGCUCCCAUAGGGAGGAACACCAUUAGGAGGUGUGGCCUUGUUAGAUUAGGAGGACCUUAAUGGAGAGAGUGUGGUGUCACUGUGGGGGUGGGUUUUGCGAACUAUGCUCAGCUACCCCAGGGCCACAGUUCACUCCCUGCUACCUGUGGAUCCAGAUGUAGAACUCCUACCUUUUCUCCAGCGCCAUGGCUGCCAGCACAGCACCGUGUUUCACCAUGGACUGAACCUCUGAACCUGUUAGCCACCCCAAUGAAAUGUUUUCCUUCUAAGAGUUGCCAUGGUCACGGUGUCUCUUCACAGCAAUUGAAACCCUAAGUAAAGCAAUAGGUAAUCACUUGAGAGAGUAACCUCAACCAUAAUUGUUGAAACAGCCAAAACAAGACCCCUUCUUAGCUGAGGGCUGCCAUUUGUGAUAUUUGCUAAGAACACAGGACUCUGUUAACAUGUUUCCUUUUGUACAAAUGACCAAUUUGUAUCUGAGAAGAUGGGAGCUCUUAUGUCCUGUGUGCUGGACACAGAAAAUCUUGAGGUAAAUUAGAGAUAGGGCAGGAAACAACUUUCUAAAUAAAGUACCUGUGGCUGGAUGGUCUCAUACCUGAUGUUCAUUUUCUCUGGCCCAGGGCAGUUCUUUGGGACACUGCAUUGGAAGAAGGUUCAGUUUGACUUUAGGAGAAUUAGGGAAGCCACAUGUUAAAGAGACAAGUAUCUAACUGUUCUCGGGUUUUAUCUCUAGCACCCAGCAGAUGAAAUUUUACAAAAUCCAUUAAGAGCACAUUAACGUCAGAAUCAUGAAUAAGUGGGAGCUUUGCAUGUGUAAUAAUGGUCAAUCCUACUCAACAUUUUUUGUCAUGUGUUUUCUUAGAAUUUCCUCUAAAUUCAAUGACUUGCUUUGUAGAGCUUUAGUUAUUUUUUUUCCUAACCUUUCCUUUUCCUUUCUGUCUUAGUUAGGGUUUCUAUUGCUCUGAUGAGGCAUCAUGACUACGACAACUUUUAGGAAGUAAACGUUUAAUUAGGGGUGGUUUAAUCCAUUAUUGUCAUGAGGUUUGGUUCAUUAUUGUCAUGGCAGGAAGCGUGGUGGCUCAGAGGCAGACAUGGUGCUGGAGAGGAAGCUGAGAGUUCUGUAUUUCGAUGGGCAGGUAUAAGGAACAGACAGUGAGCCAUUGACCUGAUUUGAACAUCUGAGACCUCAAGGCCUGCUCCCAGUGACACACAUCCUCCAACAAAGUCACACCUCCUAAUAGUGUGACUCCUUCCGGGGGAACAGUUCUAUUCAAACCACCACACUUUCUUUUUCAUCCCUCCCUUCUUUUCUUCCUUCUUUCCUUUCUUCCUUUCUUUCUUCCUUCCUUCCUUCCUUUCUU